GAGUUUGAUCAUGGCUCAGAUUGAACGCUGGCGGAAUGCUUUACACAUGCAAGUCGAGCGGCAGCGCGGGGCAACCUGGCGGCGAGCGGCGAACGGGUGAGUAAUGCAUCGGAACAUGUCCAUGUCGUGGGGGAUAGCCCGGCGAAAGCCGGAUUAAUACCGCUAUACGCCCGAGAGGGGAAAGUGGGGGACCGCAAGGCCUCACGCGAUUGGGUUGGCCGAGUGUCCGAUUAGCUAGUUGGCGGGGUAAAGGCCCACCAAGGCGAUG
rnacentral:rRNA from 1 species